GUAGGGAAUAUUGGGCAAUGGAGGCAACUCUGACCCAGCCAUGCCGCGUGCAGGAUGACGGCCCUCUGGGUUGUAAACUGCUUUUAUACGGGAAGAAAAAAUACUACGUGUAGUAUACUGACGGUACCGUAAGAAUAAGGAUCGGCUAACUCCGUGCCAGCAGCCGCGGUAAUACGGAGGAUCCAAGCGUUGUCCGGAUUUAUUGGGUGUAAAGGGUGCGUAGGCGGAUCUUUAAGUCAGUGGUGAAAGCCUGCAGCUUAACUGUAGAAUUGCCAUUGAAACUGAAGAUCUUGAAUGUGGUUAAAGUAGGCGGAAUGUAUCAUGUAGCGGUGAAAUGCUUAGAUAUGAUACAGAACACCGAUAGCGAAGGCAGCUUGCUGAACCAUUAUUGACGCUGAGGCACGAAAGCGUGGGGAGCGAACAGGAUUAGAAACCCGAGUAGUCC
rnacentral:rRNA from 1 species